rnacentral:rRNA from 1 species
GAUGAACGCUAGCGGCAGGCUUAAUACAUGCAAGUCGAGGGGCAGCAUGAAGUAGCAAUACUUUGAUGGCGACCGGCAAACGGGUGCGGAACACGUACACAACCUCCCUUUAAGUGGGGAAUAGCCCAGAGAAAUUUGGAUUAAUACCCCGUAACGCAACGAAGUGGCAUCACUUUGUUGUUAUAGUUUCGACGCUUAAUGAAGGGUGUGCGUAUGAUUAGAUAGUUGGCGAGGUAACGGCUCACCAAGUCUACGAUCAUUAGCUGAUGUGAGAGCAUGAUCAGCCACACGGGCACUGAGACACGGGCCCGACUCCUACGGGAGGCAGCAGUAAGGAAUAUUGGUCAAUGGACGCAAGUCUGAACCAGCCAUGCCGCGUGAAGGAUUAAGGUCCUCUGGAUUGUAAACUUCUUUUAUAUGGGACGAAAAAAGGUCUUUCUAGACCCCUUGACGGUACCAUAUGAAUAAGCACCGGCUAACUCCGUGCCAGCCGCCGCCGUAACAC